GAUGAACGCUGACAGAAUGCUUAACACAUGCAAGUCGAUUCGAUUUACCUUCGGGUAUUGAGGAUGGCGGACGGGUGAGUAACGCGUAAGGAACUUGCCUCUUGGUCUGGGACAACUGUUGGAAACGACAGCUAAUACCGGAUAUUAUGAGAUUCUCGCAUGAGAAACUUAUGAAAGCUAUAUGCGCCAAGAGAGAGCCUUGCGUUCCAUUAGCUAGUUGGUGGGGUAACGGCCCACCAAGGCGACGAUGGAUAGCCGGCCUGAGAGGGUGAACGGCCACAAGGGGACUGAGACACGGCCCUUACUCCUACGGGAGGCAGCAGUGGGGAAUAUUGGACAAUGGGCCACAAGCCUGAUCCAGCAAUUCUGUGUGCACGAUGAAGGUCUUCGGAUUGUAAAGUGCUUUCAGUUGGGAAGAAGAAAGUGACGGUACCAACAGAAGAAGCGACGGCUAAAUACGUGCCAGCAGCCGCGGUAAUACGUAUGUCGCAAGCGUUAUCCGGAUUUAUUGGGCGUAAAGCGCGUCUAGGCGGAAAAAUAAGUCUGAUGUUAAAAUGCGGGGCUCAACUCCGUAUUGCGUUGGAAACUGUUUUUCUAGAGUACUGGAGAGGUGGGCGGAACUACAAGUGUAGAGGUGAAAUUCGUAGAUAUUUGUAGGAAUGCCGAUGGAGAAGUCAGCUCACUGGACAGAUACUGACNCUAAAGCGCGAAAGCGUGGGGAGCAAACAGGAUUANAUACCCUGGUAGUCCAC
rnacentral:rRNA from 1 species